UUAGCUACUUUAGAUAGUGUUUGAAUUCAUCAAGGUGAGUUCAAACAAAACGCAAGUUUGAAUUUAUCUAUGAUGGCUAGAGCGAUUUGUUUACGGUUAGCCACAUAACUUUUAAGUGGCUAGGCGCAACUAUUAAAAUUACAAAAUAAUUUUUGUGAUACCCACU
rnacentral:ncRNA from 1 species